rnacentral:rRNA from 1 species
CUCCUGGAAACGGGUGGUAAUGCCGGAUGUUCCAGUUGAUCGCAUGGUCUUCUGGGAAAGCUUUCGCGGUAUGGGAUGGGGUCGCGUCCUAUCAGCUUGACGGCGGGGUAACGGCCCACCGUGGCUUCGACGGGUAGCCGGCCUGAGAGGGCGACCGGCCACAUUGGGACUGAGAUACGGCCCAGACUCCUACGGGAGGCAGCAGUGGGGAAUAUUGCACAAUGGGCGCAAGCCUGAUGCAGCGACGCCGCGUGAGGGAUAGAGGCCUUCGGGUUGUAAACCUCUUUUAUCGGGGAGCAAGCGUGAGUGAGUUUACCCGUUGAAUAAGCACCGGCUAACUACGUGCCAGCAGCCGCGGUAAUACGUAGGGUGCAAGCGUUAUCCGGAAUUAUUGGGCGUAAAGGGCUCGUAGGCGGUUCGUCGCGUCCGGUGUGAAAGUCCAUCGCUUAACGGUGGAUCCGCGCCGGGUACGGGCGGGCUUGAGUGCGGUAGGGGAGACUGGAAUUCCCGGUGUAACGGUGGAAUGUGUAGAUAUCGGGAAGAACACC